ACGAACGCUGGCGGCGUGCCUAAUACAUGCAAGUAGAACGCUGAAGAGAGGAGCUUGCUCUUCUUGGAUGAGUUGCGAACGGGUGAGUAACGCGUAGGUAACCUGCCUUGUAGCGGGGGAUAACUAUUGGAAACGAUAGCUAAUACCGCAUAACAAUGGAUGACACAUGUCAUUUAUUUGAAAGGGGCAAUUGCUCCACUACAAGAUGGACCUGCGUUGUAUUAGCUAGUAGGUGAGGUAACGGCUCACCUAGGCGACGAUACAUAGCCGACCUGAGAGGGUGAUCGGCCACACUGGGACUGAGACACGGCCCAGACUCCUACGGGAGGCAGCAGUAGGGAAUCUUCGGCAAUGGGGGCAACCCUGACCGAGCAACGCCGCGUGAGUGAAGAAGGUUUUCGGAUCGUAAAGCUCUGUUGUAAGUCAAGAACGAGUGUGAGAGUGGAAAGUUCACACUGUGACGGUAGCUUACCAGAAAGGGACGGCUAACUACGUGCCAGCAGCCGCGGUAAUACGUAGGUCCCGAGCGUUGUCCGGAUUUAUUGGGCGUAAAGCGAGCGCAGGCGGUUUGAUAAGUCUGAAGUUAAAGGCUGUGGCUCAACCAUAGUUCGCUUUGGAAACUGUCAAACUUGAGUGCAGAAGGGGAGAGUGGAAUUCCAUGUGUAGCGGUGAAAUGCGUAGAUAUAUGGAGGAACACCGGUGGCGAAAGCGGCUCUCUGGUCUGUAACUGACGCUGAGGCUCGAAAGCGUGGGGAGCGAACAGGAUUAGAUACCCUGGUAGUCCACGCCGUAAACGAUGAGUGCUAGGUGUUGGAUCCUUUCCGGGAUUCAGUGCCGCAGCUAACGCAUUAAGCACUCCGCCUGGGGAGUACGACCGCAAGGUUGAAACUCAAAGGAAUUGACGGGGGCCCGCACAAGCGGUGGAGCAUGUGGUUUAAUUCGAAGCAACGCGAAGAACCUUACCAGGUCUUGACAUCCCGAUGCUAUUUCUAGAGAUAGAAAGUUACUUCGGUACAUCGGUGACAGGUGGUGCAUGGUUGUCGUCAGCUCGUGUCGUGAGAUGUUGGGUUAAGUCCCGCAACGAGCGCAACCCCUAUUGUUAGUUGCCAUCAUUCAGUUGGGCACUCUAGCGAGACUGCCGGUAAUAAACCGGAGGAAGGUGGGGAUGACGUCAAAUCAUCAUGCCCCUUAUGACCUGGGCUACACACGUGCUACAAUGGUUGGUACAACGAGUUGCGAGUCGGUGACGGCAAGCUAAUCUCUUAAAGCCAAUCUCAGUUCGGAUUGUAGGCUGCAACUCGCCUACAUGAAGUCGGAAUCGCUAGUAAUCGCGGAUCAGCACGCCGCGGUGAAUACGUUCCCGGGCCUUGUACACACCGCCCGUCACACCACGAGAGUUUGUAACACCCGAAGUCGGUGAGGUAACCUUUUGGAGCCAGCCGCCUAAGGUGGGAUAGAUGAUUGGGGUG
rnacentral:rRNA from 1 species